UACGUAGGGUGCGAGCGUUGUCCGGAAUUAUUGGGCGUAAAGAGCUCGUAGGCGGCUUGUCGCGUCGUCCGGUGAAAACUUGGGGCUCAACCCCAAGCUUGCGGUCGAUACGGGCAGGCUCGAGUUCGGUAGGGGAGACUGGAAUUCCUGGUGUAGCGGUGAAAUGCGCAGAUAUCAGGAGGAACACCGGUGGCGAAGGCGGGUCUCUGGGCCGUAACUGACGCUGAGGAGCGAAAGCAUAAAGAGCGAACAGG
rnacentral:rRNA from 1 species